rnacentral:rRNA from 1 species
GAUGAACGCUGGCGGCGUGCUUAACACAUGCAAGUCGAACGGACAGGCCCUGCGUUUGUUGGGUUCUCGAUUGGCGAACGGGUGUGUAUCACGUGUGUAACCUCCCCUUGUCUUUCGGGUAACUUUUGGGAACAGGGGCUAAUAUCGGAUAGAAGCUCCUGCUGCAUGUGGUGGGAUGGUAAGUUUCGGCGGUUUGGGAUGGACUCGCAGGUUAUGCGCUGGUUGGUGUGGUAGUGGCUUACCAAGGCUUUGAAGGGUAGCCGGCCUGAGAGGGUGACCGGCGACAUUGGGACUGAGAUACGGCCCAGACUCCUACGGGAGGCAGCAGUGGGAAGUAUUGCACAAUGGGGGGAAGUCUGAUGCAGCAACGCCGGGUGCGGGAUGACGGCCUUCGGGUUGUAAACCGCUUUCGACUGUGACGAAGCGUGAGUGACGGUAAUGGGUAAAGAAGCACCGGCUAACUACGUG